rnacentral:rRNA from 1 species
ACAUGACUACAACAUAGUGUUAAUGCAUCAGAUCCCAUUAGAACUCCAUAGUUAAGCGCGCUCAGUCUAGAGUAGUACUAGGAUGGGUGACCACCCCGGGAAGUCCUAUUGUUUUACAUGUC